UGCUGCUCUGGGCUAAAUUGUUUGGAAGUGUUUGGCUGAUAGAAUGGCUGGAACUGGUAAUGUCCAGUAUCUAACAGGCUCUGCUAUGAUGUUCUUCUUGUUUUUCCCCACAAAGUUCUGAAGGGCUUUUAUCAAGGAUAACAAUUUUUUGGUGUAAUCAUGGACGUGUACAUCUAGAGAAACUGAGGUUGUACAAGCAGGACAGGAAGAGGUCAUACAUCAACGAGAGAGCAACGAGAAAAGGAAAAAAUAAGGAUACUCCUCCGGUUUGUCUCUGUGAUGCUGCAACCUGGAGACAAGUCAUUUCUGCAGUGAGGCUGUGCAAACAUCAUGUGUUCCUGUGUGGAAAGCAGGGGAGACAGCCAGGAGCAACAGGACACGGUGAGGAACAUCCGGGAUCAGCUCCCGACUCCCUUGUUUU
rnacentral:lncRNA from 1 species